CACGUAGGGUGCGAGCGUUGUCCGGAAUUAUUGGGCGUAAAGAGCUCGUAGGCGGUGUGUCGCGUCGGCCGUGAAAACCUGCAGCUUAACUGUGGGCUUGCGGUCGAUACGGGCAUCACUGGAGUUCGGCAGGGGAGACUGGAAUUCCUGGUGUAGCGGUGAAAUGCGCAGAUAUCAGGGAAAGAACACCCCGUGGCGAAAGGCGGCUCUCUGGGGACGGGUACUGACGCUGAGACGCGAAAAGCGUGGGGGAGCGAACAGGG
rnacentral:rRNA from 1 species